AUGACCAGAGAUAAUCUUAGGAAAAGACACAUCAUUAAACCUCUAGAUUGUGUGUUUUGCUCUUCAGCCGAAUCUAUUCAGCAUCUGUUUUUUGAUUGUAUUGUUGCUAAAAUUAUUUGGAGUUUGGUGAGAGACCACUUCAAGAAAGACAUAGGAUCUGAUUAUCUUUCGAUGGCUCAAUUUUGGGUUUCUAAUAAAAAGAAUGCUGCUCUUAAUGUUGCUAGUUCAACCACCAUGUGGUACCUAUGAAAGUUCAGGAAUUCCAUGAUCUUUAAUAACAUUGCAUGGUCUAAUAUAAAGCAUGUGAUAGGGAAACUUCAAGCUAUGAUCCAAAGUUGGAUGAUUCUUUCUGGGGACCGAAAGCAAGAAAAUCAUUCCAGGAGAUUGAGGUCGUGGCUUAGGGGUUGUGCAAAUUAG
rnacentral:rRNA from 1 species